rnacentral:ncRNA from 1 species
AACGAAACGAUGAACGGGACGAGUACGUAAGGUCCGCUGCUAAGAGAGUCGGGGUCAGGUGAAAGCCCGUCCAGCAGCCUUGCGGAAUAUCACCCGGGAGUUCAAUAGCCGAAAGCUGACUCCAUGCUUCGAUGGAUUGGCAAGUAAGUGCGCGAGUCAUUCCCGUUACGGAAUGUAAUGAAGUGAAGCGAGUUUUUGCCGUCUCUUUUGCAUGCGGCAUAACUCGUUUAAUCAGGGUGGUACCACGGGAGCUUUCUCUCGUCCCUAUU